GACGAACCGUGCGAACGUUGUUCGGAAUCACUGGGCGUAAAGCGCACGUAGGCGGCUUUGUAAGUUAGAGGUGAAAGCCCGGGGCUCAACUCCGGAAUUGCCUUUAAGACUGCAUCGCUAGAAUUGUGGAGAGGUAAGUGGAAUUCCGAGUGUAGAGGUGAAAUUCGUAGAUAUUCGGAAGAACACCAGUGGCGAAGGCGACUUACUGGACACAUAUUGACGCUGAGGUGCGAAAGCGUGGGGAGCAAACAGG
rnacentral:rRNA from 1 species